rnacentral:tRNA from 1 species
UCCAGGGUGACCCGUUGCCCCGUAAGGGUUCCGGAACCGCCCCGCAGCGGACUGUUAAUCCGCAGGUUGAGGGUUCGAGUCCCUCCCCCGGAGCCA